rnacentral:lncRNA from 1 species
AUGAGUACUUCCUUCCUCCUAACCUGCAGGGACUGUGGAUGGGAACCGAGGACUAGUGCCUUAGAGGGGUCAGAGGAGCGAUCGAGAGGCCGGAUGGGGGAAGACAAUGAGGCAGAGGGGUCCCAGACCAUGAGCUGCUGGCUGGAAGGUCGCAGGGAGACACUGAGGACCUGAGAGGCUGGAGGAAUCGGCCGCAGAGGCCUCAGAGGAGGGUCCAGUCCCGGAAGCCCUCCCCACCGCCAUCACAGAGCAUCGUGGGGCCUCAGCUGGCCCUGCACAGAGUAGUGUGGGGGCAUCCGUGGGGAGGGGCAGGAUGUCACUGUCCCCCGAGUGACACCCCUUCCCAGGGAUACUGCAGUGACCCACAAGAACAUGCUAGAACCUGCUGCUACUUGGCUGUCUCCAGCGGGCACGGGGUAGAGAAAUAAGGACAGUGUGAUGGAAACCUGGCCGUAGAAACCUCGAGCCCGCCGAUGACCGUCUGUGCCCACGCUCGCGGGGGUGUGACUAUGGGGGAGUGUGCACAACACAUGUAGGCUGGGGGUGCUGGUGGGGCCCGGGAUAGGCACCUGAGGGAGUCCCCUGAGGAUGGCGUGGGAGGGCCGUCCGGUGGGACUCCUCACCCACCCCACCGCCAUGCCCAGGCCUCUGGGUGUGGAGGUUCCUGAGCCCGGCGCUGUCCUGGGGCUGCUGCUGCUUUUCGUUUUUUUUUUUUUUUUGGUCAUGCUCAGUCUUUGCUGCUGGAAGCAAGCUUUUUCUCCAGUUGCAGUCAGGGAGCCACUCUCCAAUUGCAAUGGGCUCUAGAGCACAGGUCCGGUAGUUGUGGCACAUGGGCUUCGUUGCCCCGAGGCAUGUGGCAUCUUCCUGGACCAGGAGUCGAACCCAUGUCUCCUGCGUCGGCAGGUGGAUUCCUUACCACUGAGCCACCAGGAAGUCCUGGGGCCGCUUCCUGCGUGUCCCGUCUAAACCCUCGUGUGUUGUUCACAGGGUUGGCUGGCGGCCCAGAGAGAAGAGCCGUGUGGAGCCGAAGAGGCGGGUGGACCGCACGGCCCUGGAGCAGAGAUACCGGCCUGUGACCAGGGACCGCAAGGUGGUUAGUGUUGAGCGGUGUCCGAACUCCGGUCACGUCUGUGUCCGCGUCGGCGGGUGGUUGUCUGUGUCCACGUGGCAGGUGCUUGGUAUUGAGUUGGUGUGCGUUCUCGGGUCAGGUCUGUGUCCACAUCGGCAGGGGCUUAGAGCUGAGCCAGUGUCUGAGCGCCGGUCAGUGGGGCACAGAUCGUGGUUCUCGGUUCGUGCUGAGCUGAUGUCAGCGCUCGGUUUGGGGUGGUUGUGGAUGAAGAGACAUGAUCCAGGCGUUUGGGUGGCUCUCACAGUGGACCGGGGACAGGACGCUUGUCUUGUCUGAGGUGUUUGCUGGGGGGGGGGGCUCAGAGGGCAGUGCUGGUGAGCCCUGGGUGAGCACCGCCCCCGCCUCUGCCCUUCACCCCGAGCUCCAGGAGGAAAAGCUGUGGUGAUACCCGGAGCCAGGCUGGGCACUGGUGCUCACCAGGGACUGUGCUGAGAAGCCCCGGGGCCAUCCCUGGGCCUGGCAGGGGAGCCUCCAUGACCGCCCGCGAGCCGUGCAGAGAGUGAGCGAGGACCUGACGCCGGACGUGUGAGGUCGCCCUGCCCACGGCAGUCAUCCCUGUGCCAGGCAAGCCCGCCUCGCACUCCCGGUGGGAUGGACGCCACUGUUCACUGUCUAUAAACCUGCCCUUGGAAAGUGGCUUCCUGGCUUGUUUCUGAUCAGAUCUAUGGGGCCGGGGGGGUCCUCCCUGCAAGCCUUAAACAGAGCUGUUCCCUGAACAGCCAGGACCGCAGCAUCGUGGCACGUAACUCAGAGGUAAGGGCAGGGCCUGUGCGAGUCCUUCAGGAAUGCGGCCAACGGGUUAUGUCACGAAAUCUGCCAGCCCGCUUUCCCGUUCCUGGUGAUUCAGGUCCUGGCAGCAUGCACGGGUCAUUUCAGCUCUGAAGUUCACUGAGGCGUGCUGAGUGAGCGGCCGGGGGAGGGGGAGGGGCACAAGGGACCCUCCGGUGAGGGACACAGCCUCUAUCUUGACAGGGAGGGGUCACUCAGGGGGGCGCCUUCGUCAGGCUCCUCGAUGGGUACCCUUACAGUGUGUGUUUUGCACAGAGAGUAAAUUUUCCCUAGAAAAACACAAGCAAACAUUGAGGUCUAGUUAGGGCAGUGCCAGCUGAAGCGCUUGGCGAUGGUACAUCAGGAUGUCUGCCAUUUUGCUGUGAAGUGCAUCAAGAAGUAAGACGGACCCGUGGGCC